GCGGGUGUAGUUUAAUGGUAAAACUCCAGCCUUCCAAGUUCGGCUACGGGAGUUCGAUUCUCCUCACCCGCUCCA
rnacentral:tRNA from 1 species